AACUAGGGCCCGGAGCCCGGGGUGCUGGAGGGAGGCGGCAGGCCCGGGUCAGGGGCCUCGAGAUCGGGCUUGGGCCCAGAGCAUGUUCCAGAUCCCAGAGUUUGAGCCGAGUGGAGAACUUCGUAUUCUCCUUCUUGGGAAUCUGAGGACUCUGAAAAUCCCAGUGCAGGGAUGCUCGCGGAAGCAUCAGCAGGGAUGUCCGCCCCAGCCGCUGACUCAGAAGCCCAACACGCAGAGAAUGUAAAGCUAGAGGUGCCAUGCUGGGGCCUGGGGCACUUCUAGCCACAGCCACUACCCUCCACUUCCACACCCAGCUCCGGGCCAGGCUCUAGGCGGAUGGCAAGAGUGGGCAGGCCUGGGCACCCACCCACGUUCACACCCAAGGAGGAGCCACACCCCUUCCCUUCCCCAGAGAAGGGAGAGUCUGGCCCAGGCCCUGCCCCAGCCCUCUCCUUCCCCCAGGGAAUUCACAGACACUCCCCCAGGGUUUUUCCCUGUAAAUAGAACACUUUUUAAAAAUUCAAUUUAGGGCUG
rnacentral:lncRNA from 1 species